AGCUUUAUACACUAUAAAUUGAUCAAGCCGUAUGAUACUUGUUAUAUCAUACGAAGAGAAAAAAAAUGGUUAAAACUCUCAUGUUAAUUUCCACAAUAAUUUUAUUUAAUUUUCUGUUUCUUACUACAAUGGAGGCUAACGGUAAUCUGAAAAUUUUUGUAACAUCCGUCAAAUGUACAUCUUUUAGAGAGUGUAAACAUCAUGACAUAGACGACAACGUUAUUUAUAUAUGCAUGAAGGGCUACUGUACAAGAUAUGAAAUUGUCAUAUGAUUUUGCAGACAAACCGAUAAUCAUAUUUUUUAUUUUUUAUUUCUUAAUUUCACGCACUUUGUAACUUUGAUUUUGUACUCUAAAAUGUUAGUAACGAAAUGAAAUUAGAUUGUCUUUUUCUCUCAUGAUUUUGAAUGUUUCGCAAAUAUUUCAACUGCCUUGCAAAUAUGACUUGUACUCAUAAAUUUGUUCUCUCUUGAUCUUGAAGAUUGUCCACAAAUAUUUGUAGGUCGAAUGAACUUUUCUAUGUGCAUUAAUGCCUAUUGUGAAGAAAGGUCAGUAUUGAAUAAUUGAAUUCAUGAGAGUAGACAAACUAACAACAAAUGUUUGUUAUUUGGUGAAUAUGAAGAAAAAAGAUAUAAAUAUAUACACACCGGUGGAGCUCGAAAUUAUGACCUCUCAGAUUAAGACCAGUCAUUUUAUCAACUAGACCAAGCCUUUAGAGUUAUAUGCUGCCUCGUCCCAUUUUAUAAGAGCUACUUUGAUUAAAUGACAUUAUUCACUUAUUUUGUUUUGACCAAAUUUUUUUAAUAAUAUAUAGAUA
rnacentral:lncRNA from 1 species